CGUGUAGGCUGCUUGGAAAGUCGGAUGUGAAAGCCCUGGGCUCAACCUAGGAAGAGCAUUCGAAACUUCCAAGCUUGAGUUUCGGAGAGGAAGGCGGAAUUCUCGGUGUAGAGGUGAAAUUCGUAGAUAUCGAGAGGAACAUCGGUGGCGAAGGCGGCCUUCUGGACGAUGACUGACGCUGAGACGCGAAAGCGUGGGGAGCAAACA
rnacentral:rRNA from 1 species